GAUGAACGCUGACAGAAUGCUUAACACAUGCAAGUCGACUGGUGGCGGACGGGUGAGUAACGCGUAAAGAACUUGCCUCACAGGUAGGGACAACAUUUGGAAACGAAUGCUACUACCUCAGACUGUGAGAGAGCUUUGCGUCCAAUUAGCUAGUUGGAGAGGUAACGGCUCACCUAGGCGAUGAUGGGUAGCCGGCCUGAGAGGGUGAUCGGGCACAAGUGGACUGGGACACGGCCAUUACUCAUACGGGAGGCAUGAGUGGGGAAUAUUGGACAAUGGACCAAAGUCUGAUCAAGGAAUUCUGUGUGCACGAUGAAGUUUUCGGAAUGUAAAGGGCUUUCAGUUGGGAAGCGGUACCAACAGAAGAAGUGACGGCUAACUACGUGCCAGCAGCAGCGGUAAUUC
rnacentral:rRNA from 1 species